rnacentral:rRNA from 1 species
ACUUAAAUUGAAGAGUUUGAUCAUGGCUCAGAUUGAACGCUGGCGGCAGGCCUAACACAUGCAAGUCGAGCGGUAGCACAGAGAGCUUGCUCUCGGGUGACGAGCGGCGGACGGGUGAGUAAUGUCUGGGAAACUGCCUGAUGGAGGGGGAUAACUACUGGAAACGGUAGCUAAUACCGCAUAACGUCGCAAGACCAAAGUGGGGGACCUUCGGGCCUCAUGCCAUCAGAUGUGCCCAGAUGGGAUUAGCUAGUAGGUGGGGUAACGGCUCAC